rnacentral:rRNA from 1 species
UACGUAGGUGGCAAGCGUUGUCCGGAAUUAUUGGGCGUAAAGGGCGCGCAGGCGGCGUCGUAAGUCGGUCUUAAAAGUGCGGGGCUUAACCCCGUGAGGGGACCGAAACUGCGAUGCUAGAGUAUCGGAGAGGAAAGUGGAAUUCCUAGUGUAGCGGUGAAAUGCGUAGAUAUUAGGAGGAACACCAGUGGCGAAAGCGGCUUUCUGGACGACAACUGACGCUGAGGCGCGAAAGCCAGGGGAGCAAACGGG